UCCCUGAUGGCUUAGCGGGUAAAGAGUCUGCCUGCAAUGCAGGAGACAUGGGUUCGAUCCCUGGGUUGGGAA
rnacentral:tRNA from 1 species